GGAAGAAAGAGGCAGGAAGAAGCAAGUAUCUCCGAUAUAAGGGUGCCUCUAGUUGGAAAUUCUACUUCAUAAGCCACUGAAAAUCUUGACUGCUAUAGGAAACUAAUGGAAAAUAAAAGUGAUGGUUGCCAGCCAAAAGUCAUCAGAAUGGCAGGAAGGAAAUUAACUUCAACUAGAGUACCUUUAAGGCAGACACAGAAAUAAAAUUCUCCCAUUUGUGCUACCUGCAACUGGAGGCAUGAAAAAGACAGAACCCAACCAACUUUUAUGUGAUUUCCAGACAUACAGUGAUGUUGCUGGAUAGUUUGUUGCUAAAAUUUCCAGCCAAUAGAAUAGAAUACUUUAUUUGGCCAGGUAUGAUUAGACACACAAGGAAUUUGUCUCUGGUGCAGAAGCUUUCAGUGUUCAUGCAAAGCAACAGAGUAAUGGUAGUCAUAAUAAUGAUACUGCUACUGAUAAUCAUAAUGUAAUGAGAUGUACAACAGGAAGUCUCAAA